rnacentral:rRNA from 1 species
UGCGUAGGCGGGCUAAUAAGUCAGUGGUGAAAUCUUCCGGCUCAACCGGGAACCUGCCAUUGAUACUGUUAGUCUUGAGUUCGGUUGAGGUAGGCGGAAUGUGUAAUGUAGCGGUGAAAUGCUUAGAUAUUACACAGAACACCAAUUGCGUAGGCAGCUUACUAGACCGACAGUGACGCUGAGGCACGAAAGCGUGGGGAGCGAACAGGAUUAGAUACCCUGGUAGUCC